UGGUGGUGGUGGUGGGGAUUCCUCUGCUGAAAAGUUGAAAGAAACUUUCUCCCCGAUUCUUGAAUGAAGGGGAGGGAGGCCAGGCCGGGCGGCGGGAGAGAGAGAGAGAGAGGAGAGGAAUAUAUAUAUGUAACGAAAGAAAGAGACCAGAACAAGCGAGCUCACAGUGGCAAAUGCAGAUCCCCCCUUCCCUCCUUUGUCCAACAACAACCCUAGGAAGUGGGCUUGGCUGAAAAGAGAACAACUUGACUGGGGGCACCCAUGAAUUUCAUGGCUUUGUGGGUCUUGGGGUCUCAACCUUUGAAGUCUACAUCCAGGGGAGAGGAGAUAAUCAAAACAGAGAAGGCAGGGAGCAAAGCCAUAAUGAGACAGAUGUCUGCAUGUAAGGCAAGGAUGUCAUCAGAAAAGGAUCUCCUGAAAUCUGAAACAUGCUUCUUCCUUCCUGACUCAGCGGCUGUGACUGAUAGGUUGUCCUGGUCCCUUGUGAGGAAGAGAGAGAGAUAGAUAGACUGAAAGCCAUCUUUGAGAGAAAGGUCUGAGAUCCAGUUUACACAGUCAAAAAGGACACCAUGAUACAUCGUGACAGCCCCUAAGGGGACAUACACUGGUGCCUCGCUUAACGAGUGCCUCAUUAAACGACGAAACCACUAUACGAUGACUGUUUUGCAAUCAAACAAAAACAGGACAGCCUCUUCUUGCAGACGUCAUCUGAAAAGACAAAAGAAAAUCCAGCCAAGGGGAGAAAAGGAGGACCAGCAAAUUCAGGUACCAGUUCCAGUCACUGGAUGGCCGUUCUUACAAAGGGUCACCUGGAACUGAAGCUGCCCAGGGAAGAGAAGCUGGAUGAUGCUGAGCCGAUCAAAGGGCUCUGGUUCCCAUCACCGUCUCUUCAUCCAUCCAUCCCAACAGGGGUGCAAUCACAGGAAAUGUUAGUGAGAGGUGAUGUUGAAUCCAGGGAAGGUACGCCAUAGGUUUUCCGUGACAGUGUAUCCCCAAUAAAGGUCAGGGUGCAUCAUACAUCUUUUCUAAAGGGCAAAUUGAUUUGAGAUUAACUUCCAUUAAAGUUACUUCCGGUUCAUAAGACAUAUUGUCUGUGUUUCUGAAAUGAUUUGUUUUGCAAUUGUAGGAAUUGGGUGGACGCGAAUGAGGUGAUGCAUCAGCCUGUGACCUUCGGCAUUUUCUUGUUACUGCCUUCUUUAUUGUGUCUAUAUUCUUUUCAUACUUUUGCCUUUUC